GAUGAACGCUGGCGGCGUGCCUAAUACAUGCAAGUCGAGCGAACGGACGAGAAGCUUGCUUCUCUGAUGUUAGCGGCGGACGGGUGAGUAACACGUGGAUAACCUACCUAUAAGACUGGGAUAACUUCGGGAAACCGGAGCUAAUACCGGAUGAUAUUUUGAUCCGCAUGGUUCAAAAGUGAAAGACGGUCUUGCUGUCACUUAUAGAUGGAUCCGCGCUGCAUUAGCUAGUUGGUAAGGUAACGGCUUCCAAGGCAACGAUGCAUAGCCGACCUGAGAGGGUGAUCGGCCACACUGGAACUGAGACACGGUCCAGACUCCUACGGGAGGCAGCAGUAGGGAAUCUUCCGCAAUGGGCGAAAGCCUGACGGAGCAACGCCGCGUGAGUGAUGAAGGUCUUCGGAUCGUAAAACUCUGUUAUUAGGGAAGAACAUAUGUGUAAGUAACUGUGCACAUCUUGACGGUACCUAAUCAGAAAGCCACGGCUAACUACGUG
rnacentral:rRNA from 1 species